UACGUAGGGUGCAAGCGUUGUCCGGAAUUAUUGGGCGUAAAGGGCUCGUAGGCGGUCCAUCGCGUCGGGAGUGAAAAGCUGGGGCUUAACCCCAGUCCUGCUUCCGAUACGGGUGGACUAGAGGUAGGUAGGGGAGAACGGAAUUCCUGGUGUAGCGGUGAAAUGCGCAGAGAUCGGGAGGAACACCAAUAGCGAAGGCAGCUCGCUGGGACGGUACUGACGCUAAGGCGCGAAAGCGUGGGGAGCGAACAGG
rnacentral:rRNA from 1 species